UGAAAAGAACUUUGAAAAGAGAGUUAAACAGUACGUGAAAUUGUUGAAAGGGAAACGAUUGAAGUCAGUCAUACCAACGGGAAAUCAACCUUUUGAGCUUGGUCUCGUGGGUUUUGAAGAGUUUCAAAGCCUUCGGAUUCGCGGGAUUGGGAUCUCUYGGUGUACUUUUUCGUACGGUUAGUCAACAUCGGUUUUGAAUGUCAUAAAAUGACUGGA
rnacentral:rRNA from 1 species